GACAGAGGGUGCAAACGUUGCUCGGAAUCACUGGGCGUAAAGGACGUGUAGGCGGAUAGAUAAGUCGGGCGUGAAAGCCCCAGGCUCAACCUGGGAACUGCACUCGAAACUGUUUAUCUUGAGCGCCGGAGAGGAAAGCGGAAUACCUGGUGUAGAGGUGAAAUUCGUAGAUAUCAGGUGGAACACCAGUGGCGAAGGCGGCUUUCUGGACGGUAACUGACGCUGAGACGCGAAAGCGUGGGGAGCAAACAGG
rnacentral:rRNA from 1 species